rnacentral:rRNA from 1 species
CAAUAGCGUAUACUAAUGUUGUUGCAGUUAAAAAGCUCGUAGUUGAACUUCUGGUAGGAGUGUCCCGGCCUUUUUGUUUUUACAGAUUGUAUGCUGUGUGACAUCUCUGGCCAUCCUUCUUCUUUGUUUAAAGAAGAUCUUUCACUGUAAAAAAAUUAGGGUGUUCAAAGCAAAAGUUUCUUUGGAAUAUAUUAGUAUGGGAUGAUAAGAUAGGCUCUAGAUGCUAUUUUGUUGGUUUGCACAUUUAGAGAAUGAUUAACAGGGACAGUUGGGGGUAUUCGUAUUUACAUGUCAGAGGUGAAAUUCUUGGAUUUUGGAAAGACGAACUACUGCGAAAGCAUUUACCAAGGAUGUUUUCAUUAA